rnacentral:rRNA from 1 species
UCUACACUAGAUCGCUCGUCGGCAGCGUCAGAUGUGUAUAAGAGACAGAUUCAGACCAUAUGCCAGGUCUGUCUGUACUAAAUUCUUGGAGAACUGUCACAGUGAGAAGGAAAUAAAGUCCCAGGUCCCAUGAAAAGCCGUAUAGGAUGACCGUACCGAGAACUGAAACAGGUGUUUUAGGGUGAGUAGCCUAAGGCGUAUCGGAUACAAGUAUCGCGAGGGAACUCGGCAAAAUGGCUCCGUAACUUCGGGAGAAGGAGUGCCAGAUCAGAGAUGAUCUGGUCGCAGUGACUAGGGAGCUCCGACUGUUUAAUAAAAACAUAGGGGACUGCCAGAUCGAAAGGUUGUGUAUAGUCCCUGAAUCCUGCUCAGUGCUGGUAUCUUAAAUCGGGUUUCAACCUGACGAAGGACCAGUAAACAGCGGGGGUAACUAUGACCCUCUUAAGGUAGCGUAAUACCUUGUCGCUUAAUUGGCGACUUGCAUGAAUGGUCCAACGAGGGCUCCACUGUCCCCGCGAUACGUCCGGCGAAAUUGACUUUACUGGCGCACAGUCCAGUACAUUCUACCCGCAAGCGAAGACCCCGUAGAGCUUUACUGCAGCCUGUCGUUGCAUAGUCGCUUUCCAUGUACUGUGUAGGUGGGAGACGUUGAUCCCUGGGACGCCAGUCCCGGGAGUAGUUGAAAGGAGAGACACCACCCUUGGAGAGUAACUAUGCUAACUGUUUAUCAGGACACCGAUUGGUGGGCAGUUUGGGUGGGGCGCCACGCGCUCGAAAACCUAACAAGCGUGCCCAAAGGUCAGCUUAAGUGGUUCAGCACUCCACUGUUAACUGUAAGGGGAAAAGCUGGCUUGACGUGGAUCGGCACAAUAACGAUCGACGAUGCGAAAGCAGGGCCUAACGAACCUACCAGGCUUAUAUUUGAGGCCGGUAGAUAACAGAAAAGUUACCUCGGGGAUAAUUGAGUUGUCACCAGCAAGAGCUCACAUCGACCUGGUGGCUUGCUACUUCGAUGUCGUCUCUUCCUAUCCUGGGUCUGCAGCAGGACCCAAGGGUGGGGUUGUUCGCCCAUUAAAAGGGAUCGUGAGAUGGGUUUAGACCGUCGUGAGACAGGUUUGUUGCUUGGUGGUAGAAUCGCGUAAGGUGUCUGAUGGCUGUCUCUUAUACACAUCUGACGCUGCCGACGAGCG